rnacentral:rRNA from 1 species
AUGUCGAGCUCCUCCUCAUCUGUCGCCAUGGCCGUGCCCUCCAUCGCCUCUCUCGGUCACACCAUCACCGAAAAACUGACCCGAGAGAACUUCCUAGUCUGGACGGCACAUGUCCUGCCACACAUCAAGGGGGCAGGGCUGAUGGGCUAUCUGGACGGCUCGAUCAAGGAGCCUCCCGCUGUGAUCCUCUCGGAGAAGGAUGUCUCCGGCAAGAAGGAGAUCACGUCCUCGCCAAACCCCGAGCACGCUGUGUGGGUUACCCAAGACGAGCAAAUCCUCACGUUUUUUAUCUCAUCGCUCUCCCGUGAGGUUUUACUGCAGGUCAGCUCCUACACCACCGCCGCCACGAUCUGGAACGCCCUGCUGCAGAGUUUCUCCUCGCAGUCGAGGGCGAGGGUAAUCCAGCUUCGCUCCGCCAUCGAACACACUCGCAAAGGGGACAUGUCCGCCGCAGCCUACUUCACCAAGAUGGUGAGCAUCUCCGACGAGCUCGCAGCCGCCGGCAAGCCCAUGGAUGAAGACGACGUCGUCGACCACAUCCUGCAAGGUCUCCUUCACGAACCUGACUACAAAGGCUUCGUCUCGGCCAGCUCCACCCGCACCGCCACCGAACAGCCGAUCGGUCUCAGCGAGCUUUUCUCUCUGCUGCUGGCGGCUGAAGCUCGCAUCGCCGCCCAGAACACCGCCUUCCACUCCGCCAAUCUGGCGGCAAGGGGUGGAGGUCUCGACAACCCAAGGGGUGGCGGCAACAGCGGCGGAGGAGUCGGUUCCCCCGGCUACAGCAACAACAACGCAGGCGCCCGCUACUCUGAUAAUCCCGGCGGCGGGGGCUUUGGAGGUGGGCCGCGGCAAGGAGGUGGUGACCGCGGUGACCGCGAGCGCGAGAAGUGCCAGAUCUGCAAGCUCAAAGGGCACGACGCGUGGCGUUGCAAGAAAUGCUUUGAUCGCAACUACAACAACAACGUCCGCAACCCCGCAGGAGGCGGCGGUGGCGGAGGAGGCGGAAGUGGUGGAGGACAUCACUCCGCCAACGCAGCUCACUCCUAUGGAGUUGAUACCAAUUGGUAUCUUGACACCGGCGCCACCGACCACGUGACAAGAGAGUUGGAGAAGCUCGUCGUUUGUGGUCAAGGAUCGGGCCACUCAGAGCACCAUUCUUCAAAACAAGAGUAG